rnacentral:rRNA from 1 species
CCCUUAGAUGUUCUGGGCUGCACGCGCGCUACACUGUCGGAUUCAGCGAGUCAUAUCCUUCACCGAAAGGUUUGGGUAAUCUUUUGAAAGUCCGACGUGAUGGGGAUUGAUCAUUGCAAUUAUUGAUCAUGAACGAGGAAUUCCUAGUAAGCGCGAGUCAUCAGCUCGCGUUGAUUACGUCCCUGCCCUUUGUACACACCGCCCGUCGCUACUACCGAUUGAAUGGUUUAGUGAGAUCUUCGGAUUGGCGCCUACGCGGCUUCUCUGAGGCCACGCUGGAUGCCGAAAAGUUGCUCAAACUGUAUCAUUUAGAGGAAGUAAAAGUCGUAACA